GAGCAGUGGCGACACAAACUCUGGAUCUGACCUGAGUUCCAGCCUCAGAUCUCAACAUGCAUCUUCUCCUGAUGAUUGUCGGAGUCGGGCUUCUCGCUCCAGCUCUGAGCCUCACCUGCUAUCACUGCGCAUCAGAGUCCUGCGUGGAGACGCAGGAGUGCUCCUCACCAGAGCAGCGCUGCUCUGCAGUCAGCGCUGUGAUCCGUGCUCCUGGCAUGGCCGAACAGCGUCAGCACAAUAAAGGCUGUGCUCCUCCUGAGCACUGCGUGGAGAAGUCUUUCAGCACGAGAGACACCAGAUCUGCCAUCAACGUGCAGUGCUGCUCCACAGACCUUUGCAACAGCCGACCAGCUCCCGAACCCAGCAGCAGCCCAAAUGGAAAGAAGUGCUACCAGUGUGAUGGCACUUUCUGCAACGCCACUAUGGACUGUCUGGGCAGCGAGGACUCCUGCUUCACCUCCACAGAGAAGUAUGGCGACAAAAAAACCGACAAGGGCUGCAUUUCCAAGUCCAUCUGUGAUGCUGGAGAAUCACCAUCGCAUAUGGUUUACAAGUGCUGUCAGGGCGACCGGUGCAACGGCGCAGUCGGCAUCAGCGCCGCUCUGCUCCUGCCGGUGGCUCCUCUGCUGACUCGGCUGAUUCUUUAGGAGUUUCCAGAAUGUCUCCAUUUUCCUGUGAUCACCUGCUUCCAUUUUCUCUUUGCGCAACUCUUCUUCGCAUCAGCCAUUUUCUUUAUGAUUUGAAUCGCUGUCUGACUACAUUAAAUUCAUCUGAGUGAAGCUCUUGUUUCUUUAGAGUCGACUGGGUCCAGAGAGUCCUGUGUCUGGCUACAAAGAUGAAACCAUCAGAAGCAGCUCUGCUGAACACUGCUGGCCACGCCUUGACUGGUUCAGUCACUGGAGAGUUCCUGUGUCUCCGUUUGAUAGCGCUUGAAGUAUGAACACUUGAAACGAGAAAGUUCCCGCCAGUCAGACAGUAACACCUCCCGGUGAUGUUCCUCCUCUUUGCUGUAACCUCGAUAACAACCGAAAAUAACCCUGACUGGACUUGCCUUCGAGAUCAUUGUGAAAUAAUUCAAAGACGGGUCACGACACACACAGUAUUGUGUUGAGUCACUGAAGACAUGACAUCGACACCAGGGAAAUGUGCAUGAAACAUUCACCCUCUCCAGGGAUCUGAACCGAACUAAAGCCUGGUUAUAAUGACCCAGUUAUUUUAAUCAUCAAACUGAGGUUCGGACGUGUGAGGUCCGGCCACAGAGUGUGUUUACCAGAAUUAGUCCCCACAAGUACAGUUAAAACAUGUACACACACACAGCACAUUCGAGUUAUAUUAUUCCAUCAUUCAGGACGAUUCCAAUGGACUUUCAGAAAACUGGGUGAAAAUGCAAACAGCUGGACUGAAGCCGCUCCCAGGAAACGCUGAACUGAAUCUGAGGAUUUUUUUUCAUACUCAACCAUCCCGGAAGAAUGAAAAACCACAACUCGAAAACAGAGUUUUGCCUGGGCUUGUGGAGACAGACGCCGCCCUCUCCUCCUCCUCAGAACUUAAACCUGGAUCUCACCCACGUUCCAGCCUCAGAUCUCAACAUGUAUCUUCUGCUGAUGAUGGUGGGAGCCGGGCUCCUCUCUCCAGCCCUCAGCCUGACCUGCUAUCAGUGCCCACUGGGCCCCUCGGGCAGCUGCAGCCCCUCCGCCCAGCAGUGCCCCUCGCCGGAGCAGCGCUGCGCUGCCCACAGGACCAUCGCUUACUACG